GAUGAAGAACGCAGCGAAAUGCGAUAAGUAAUGUGAAUUGCAGAAUUCAGUGAAUCAUCGAACCUUUGAACGCACAUUGCGCCCCCUGGUAUUCCGGGGGGCAUGCCUGUCCGAGCGUCAUUACAACCCUCAAGCUCAGCUUGGUAUUGGGCCCCGCCGACCCGGCGGGCCCUAAAGUCAGUGGCGGUGCCGUCCGGCUCCGAGCGUAGUAAUUCUUCUCGCUCUGGAGGUCCGGUCGUGUGCUCGCCAGCAACCCCCAAUUUUUUUCAGGUUGACCUCGGAUCAGGUAGGGAUACCCGCUGAACUUAAGCAUAUCAAUAAGCGGAGGA
rnacentral:misc_RNA from 1 species